rnacentral:rRNA from 1 species
GGUUAAGUUAGAAAGGGCGCACGGUGGAUGCCUUGACACUAGGAGUCGAUGAAGGACGGGACUAACGCCGAUAUGCUUCGGGGAGCUGUAAGUAAGCUUUGAUCCGAAGAUUUCCGAAUGGGGAAACCCACCAUACGUAAUGGUAUGGUAUCCUUAUCUGAAUACAUAGGGUAAGGAAGACAGACCCAGGGAACUGAAACAUCUAAGUACCUGGAGGAAGAGAAAGCAAAUGCGAUUUCCUGAGUAGCGGCGAGCGAAACGGAACAUAGCCCAAACCAAGAGGCUUGCCUCUUGGGGUUGUAGGACAUUCUAUACGGAGUUACAAAGGAACGAGGUAGACGAAGCGACCUGGAAAGGUCCGUCGUAGAGGGUAACAACCCCGUAGUCGAAACUUCGUUCUCUCUUGAAUGUAUCCUGAGUACGGCGGAACACGUGAAAUUCCGUCGGAAUCUGGGAGGACCAUCUCCCAAGGCUAAAUACUCCCUAGUGAUCGAUAGUGAACCAGUACCGUGAGGGAAAGGUGAAAAGCACCCCGGAAGGGGAGUGAAAGAGAUCCUGAAACCGUGUGCCUACAAAUAGUCAGAGCCCGUUAACGGGUGAUGGCGUGCCUUUUGUAGAAUGAACCGGCGAGUUACGAUCCCGUGCGAGGUUAAGCUGAAGAGGCGGAGCCGCAGCGAAAGUGAGUCUGAAUAGGGCGUUUAGUACGUGGUCGUAGACCCGAAACCAGGUGAUCUACCCAUGUCCAGGGUGAAGUUCAGGUAACACUGAAUGGAGGCCCGAACCCACGCACGUUGAAAAGUGCGGGGAUGAGGUGUGGGUAGCGGAGAAAUUCCAAUCGAACCUGGAGAUAGCUGGUUCUCCCCGAAAUAGCUUUAGGGCUAGCCUUAAGUGUAAGAGUCUUGGAGGUAGAGCACUGAUUGGACUAGGGGUCCUCAUCGGAUUACCGAAUUCAGUCAAACUCCGAAUGCCAAUGACUUAUCCUUAGGAGUCAGACUGCGAGUGAUAAGAUCCGUAGUCAAAAGGGAAACAGCCCAGACCGCCAGCUAAGGUCCCAAAGUGUGUAUUAAGUGGAAAAGGAUGUGGAGUUGCUUAGACAACUAGGAUGUUGGCUUAGAAGCAGCCACCAUUUAAAGAGUGCGUAAUAGCUCACUAGUCGAGUGACUCUGCGCCGAAAAUGUACCGGGGCUAAAUACACCACCGAAGCUGCGGAUUGAUACCAAUGGUAUCAGUGGUAGGGGAGCGUUCUAAGGACAGUGAAGUCAGACCGGAAGGACUGGUGGAGUGCUUAGAAGUGAGAAUGCCGGUAUGAGUAGCGAAAGACGGGUGAGAAUCCCGUCCACCGAAUGCCUAAGGUUUCCUGAGGAAGGCUCGUCCGCUCAGGGUUAGUCAGGACCUAAGCCGAGGCCGACAGGCGUAGGCGAUGGACAACAGGUUGAUAUUCCUGUACCACCUCUUUAUCGUUUGAGCAAUGGAGGGACGCAGAAGGAUAGAAGAAGCGUGCGAUUGGUUGUGCACGUCCAAGCAGUUAGGCUGAUAAGUAGGCAAAUCCGCUUAUCGUAAAGGCUGAGCUGUGAUGGGGAAGCUCCUUAUGGAGCGAAGUCUUUGAUUCCCCGCUGCCAAGAAAAGCUUCUAGCGAGAUAAAAGGUGCCUGUACCGCAAACCGACACAGGUAGGCGAGGAGAGAAUCCUAAGGUGUGCGAGAGAACUCUGGUUAAGGAACUCGGCAAAAUGACCCCGUAACUUCGGGAGAAGGGGUGCUUUCUUAACGGAAAGCCGCAGUGAAUAGGCCCAAGCGACUGUUUAGCAAAAACACAGCUCUCUGCGAAGCCGUAAGGCGAAGUAUAGGGGGUGACACCUGCCCGGUGCUGGAAGGUUAAGGAGAGGGGUUAGCGUAAGCGAAGCUCUGAACUGAAGCCCCAGUAAACGGCGGCCGUAACUAUAACGGUCCUAAGGUAGCGAAAUUCCUUGUCGGGUAAGUUCCGACCCGCACGAAAGGUGUAACGAUUUGGGCACUGUCUCAACCAGAGACUCGGUGAAAUUAUAGUACCUGUGAAGAUGCAGGUUACCCGCGACAGGACGGAAAGACCCCGUGGAGCUUUACUGUAGCCUGAUAUUGAAUUUUGGUACAGUUUGUACAGGAUAGGCGGGAGCCAUUGAAACCGGAGCGCUAGCUUCGGUGGAGGCGCUGGUGGGAUACCGCCCUGACUGUAUUGAAAUUCUAACCUACGGGUCUUAUCGACCCGGGAGACAGUGUCAGGUGGGCAGUUUGACUGGGGCGGUCGCCUCCUAAAGUGUAACGGAGGCGCCCAAAGGUUCCCUCAGAAUGGUUGGAAAUCAUUCGUAGAGUGCAAAGGCAUAAGGGAGCUUGACUGCGAGACCUACAAGUCGAGCAGGGACGAAAGUCGGGCUUAGUGAUCCGGUGGUUCCGCAUGGAAGGGCCAUCGCUCAACGGAUAAAAGCUACCCCGGGGAUAACAGGCUUAUCUCCCCCAAGAGUCCACAUCGACGGGGAGGUUUGGCACCUCGAUGUCGGCUCAUCGCAUCCUGGGGCUGUAGUCGGUCCCAAGGGUUGGGCUGUUCGCCCAUUAAAGCGGUACGCGAGCUGGGUUCAGAACGUCGUGAGACAGUUCGGUCCCUAUCCGUCGUGGGCGUAGGAAAUUUGAGAGGAGCUGUCCUUAGUACGAGAGGACCGGGAUGGACGCACCGCUGGUGUACCAGUUGUUCUGCCAAGGGCAUAGCUGGGUAGCUAUGUGCGGAAGGGAUAAGUGCUGAAAGCAUCUAAGCAUGAAGCCCCCCUCAAGAUGAGAUUUCCCAUAGCGUAAGCUAGUAAGAUCCCUGAAAGAUGAUCAGGUUGAUAGGUUCGAGGUGGAAGCAUGGUGACAUGUGGAGCUGACGAAUACUAAUAGAUCGAGGACUUAACCAU